ACUACCCCUAUCUUCUUUUUAUAUUUUCAUUGUCAGUAAUUGCGAGUCACAAAAUAACUAAGCUCCUCUCCCUCGUGGCGGCGUUUGAGGUCAUGAUGGAGAGUCCAGCGUGUGCGACGUACAUGGCUGCAGUGAUGUCGUUGUGGCCGCCUCCGAUGACCAGCGCGUCCUAUUUUUUGUCCUUCAACGCACUUGCGGCGCCGACACUGCUGCAUCUAAAGCUCCUCCGCCUCAUUGAAAUCCUUCACUUUCUCUACUAGCCUUCACAUAUUGGUUGCUCAGUGCCUAUAGAAUAGUCAAUAGAGAAGAUUCUUCUCUCUCUUCCUUGUUGAUAUCAUCUUCAAUCCUUUUUAAUUACCCAACUUUUACGAGAUCCAAAUACCCAUGAAGCAAACUAAUUAACCAAAUCCCAGCUUGAUUCCAUAUUCAAAAUCUUCAUGGGUUUUAAAUUGUGAAAUGAGUGUUUUCACUCUUUCCGAUCAAACAAGCCCACCUUCAAAAGCAUCAAUUUGAUCAUAUCUUUUGUUUUUAUAAGUUCUUCAAGAAAUGAACAAAGACUACCUUCCAAGACCCAUAACAUGGUUUUCUUGCUCUUCACGAUUGAAAUUCAGGUUUUCCGGAGUACAUAUACAAAAAUGAGAUAAUAAGAGGAAAGAUGCACAAAUAAGGAAAAGCUUGAAGUCCUGACCCAAGUAGAAGACCUUGAUGGAUCGAGGAGCCCAAUCCAUGGAGCUAUCGCAGCAAAUUAUGGAGAUAUUAGCAGAGAUAUUGAUGAUAACAUGGCGAAUUCUCAUUGGACAAAGUGAUGUGGAGAAAUCCUAAUUCAAUCAGAGAAUUAAGAAGUUGGUUUUCUCUACACUUCAAGGACUCUCAAACCAAAAAGGAAUGAAAGAGGACUUCAGAGCACUAUAAUAAGCCUAGAAAAGCUAACAAAAAGACUAAUACGCGGGAGAAUCAAGCAAGAAACUCGAGCAGAAAAAAGCAGAUCAGCCGUUCACCGACCAGUUGGCGGAUCCUGACGACCGGUCGUUAUGACGAUUUUCCAACUUGAUUUUUAGGGUUUUUCUGUUUUACUUUGCUUAUGAAUUCUUUUGUGCUUCCAAUUCAAACCAUGUGCAACUAAAUUCUUGGUAGUUAGGGGAUAUUGAAGCCCCAAC